rnacentral:rRNA from 1 species
GCUUGCUCAGAUAUGACGAUGGACAUUGCAAAGAGUGGCGAACGGGUGAGUAACACGUGGGAAACCUACCUCUUAGCAGGGGAUAACAUUUGGAAACAGAUGCUAAUACCGUAUAACAAUAGCAACCGCAUGGUUGCUACUUAAAAGAUGGUUCUGCUAUCACUAAGAGAUGGUCCCGCGGUGCAUUAGUUAGUUGGUGAGGUAAUGGCUCACCAAGACGAUGAUGCAUAGCCGAGUUGAGAGACUGAUCGGCCACAAUGGGACUGAGACACGGCCCAUACUCCUACGGGAGGCAGCAGUAGGGAAUCUUCCACAAUGGGCGAAAGCCUGAUGGAGCAACGCCGCGUGUGUGAUGAAGGGUUUCGGCUCGUAAAACACUGUUGUAAGAGAAGAAUGACAUUGAGAGUAACUGUUCAAUGUGUGACGGUAUCUUACCAGAAAGGAACGGCUAAAUACGUGCCAGCAGCCGCGGUAAUACGUAUGUUCCAAGCGUUAUCCGGAUUUAUUGGGCGUAAAGCGAGCGCAGACGGUUAUUUAAGUCUGAAGUGAAAGCCCUCAGCUCAACUGAGGAAUUGCUUUGGAAACUGGAUGACUUGAGUGCAGUAGAGGAAAGUGGAACUCCAUGUGUAGCGGUGAAAUGCGUAGAUAUAUGGAAGAACACCAGUGGCGAAGGCGGCUUUCUGGACUGUAACUGACG